rnacentral:lncRNA from 1 species
UCCAGCUACAUUGAGUAACAAUGUGUACCUGAUAUUUUAUAGGAAAGAGGUAGAUCAGUAGUGAGCAGCAGUAACACAACACAAUAAACAGAUUUCAACAGCACACGAAUGAUUUUUGAAUCAAAAUCUCUUCAAUCAAUAACCAGAAUCAUAGCAACAGAAAUAACAACAUUCAACUUGAUCAUAAAUGACUCAAUUGAACAUAAAACCCACUCGAAAUCAAUGCCAACAGACCUGUGAACUUCAGCUAACCAUAACUGGACUAAGAUUGUGAAAAAUAACAGCUGAAAGUUGCAAUCUAUCUAAAAUUGUUAAUGGAACAGCAAUUUUUAGUUUUUCUAUGGAUUUUCUAUUGUUUUUGGAUUUUUUGAAGGCUUAAAUUUCAAAAGCAGAUCUGAAAUUUGAAGAGGAAAUUUUGCGAAGAAAUUUUUGAGGCUCAAGCCUUGUAGAAAUUUUCAGGGGGUUUCUCUAUUUUUUGAACUUCUAAUGUUAAAGUUCCUUUCUAAGCUCUCAAUUUCUAAUCUCUAAAUUCAGUCUAAUGUAAAAAAUUCUGUCUGUUUUUCUUACUCUCAAUGCCCUAUCUAAUUG